AAAAAGUUGUAAAUAGGUCAACUGUUACUGCCCGCGUUCAGUUCCAUUUCAAACACCGAAAAUGUACAAGCAAAUUGUUCUCGUCCUAUGUGUGCUCAUAACUGCCGCCACUGCCUUAACUGGGUGGAGAAAUUGCGGUUCUAAUAUGGCAACUCUGCACACCGUUCGAAUGACCAAUUGUACGCAGACACCAUGCAGGUUUGUGAGAGGAAACAACUAUGAGGCUGAGCUCGACGGCACCUGGCGCGCCAAUAGCCACAGUUUGCCACUCGUUCUGUCGGUUGUGAUCUUCGGCAUUCCAGUUAAUAUCCUCGAAGGAGAUGCAUGCGAUUACAAAACGAGAGGAAAUUGCCCGGCCCUAAACAACGCUGAUUUCACUUUUCGUAGUUUCUAUCCCAUACCGGAGAAUCUGCCAGCGGUAUCUACCGUUGCACGGGGUACCAUACUCAAUGAUUUUGGUGACGUUGCCGUAUGCUUAGAGAUAGAUGUAACACUUGUUUAGUGUGCGGUCUUUUCUUAAAAUUAUGUGAUAUUAAAAAUGGAAUGAUCUAAA